GAAAGAGAGAGAUAGAAAGAAGUAAGAAAGAAAGAAAGAAAGAAAGAAAGAAAGAAAGAAAGAAAGAAAGAAAGAGAGAGAGAGAGAGAGAGAGAGAGAGAGAGAGAGAGAGAGAGAGAGAGAGGAAGGAAGGUACAGCUGGUUUCAGCAACUUUCACUUACGCAAGACACCAUGUUUGUGAAAACAACCCAAGAAUCUUUAAGCAGGAUGUAAUCAACUUCUGAGUUUCUGAGAAACAGUGCAAAAAUGACUUCAGCUGCCAAAAAUAAUAAUGUCAUUUACAAGCAGCUCUUCCUAUAUCUAAGGAAGAGCUAACCGCAUGUGAGGUUUUGCUGGCUUCUGGGGAACAAGCAAAGAAAAUGACAAAUCCCACCCUCCCCACCCUGAAAUAUACAGUAAGUACCAGAAUCCUGCCGGAAGCUGUGAACCAUUCUAAAAGGUGCUGGCAGUAUCAAAGAAGACUUGUAUACAGAAAAAUUUGGAAUGACAUUCAAGGAGAGAUGUGCUUUAGAAAAUAUUCCAGUGGAAAGGGGAAGAGAAUAGACUCAGCAAGAUCAGUGAAGUUGGUCAUUGCUGUAGAUGAUUGGUAGGUACAUGGGGGUUUCCUUGUAGUACUCUUUUGUUUGUUUAAAACUUGCUACUAAAAUGUAAAGGUAGAGAGAAGAAGAGUACGAAAAUGUAUUUUACAUGAAUAAAUAUAAAACAAGUAUUUGUGAGAAAUUGGAAGACUGAGAAUUGAGUCAUCUCUGUUGAAAAAGCACCAAGGUCAGAAUGAGACAGGGUGAAAUUGUGUAUUUUUAUUCAGAAUAUUCUCAUAUUCUGACCUUUUCCUUCCUACUACCAAUCAGAGCUCUUUUAUACAAUAAUUUAUAUCUAAUAAAAACUAAGAUAUGCUAUUUCAAAGGCCGACCUAGUGCUAGUCGUAGUCAGUAACCACCGUACUGGAGAGCCAUUCAAGACCCCUUCUUUUUUCCAUUGUUUAAACCCAAAAGUAAAACCCUUUUAUUCUAUUACGCCUUCUAGCUAGGAAUGACAGUAUCACAGGGUUCCAGCCAACCUUUUAUUGAUCUGUUGAAAGGAUCCAGGCUCAACGUUUACCAGUCUUGUUUCUGUACCCCUUCCUCUCAUUUUGUUUCCAUAGAGCAAGUGCCAAGCUGAAAUUGCAGGAAAAAGGGACAUGCAUGGGGACAAAGGCCUGUGAGGAAAGACAGAAGAAACAGAGGCACAAAAAGAACUUCGGUUCUUCCCAGUGUCACUGAGUAGCUGUAGCAACCCUGAGCUAAUGCUCUGGGCAUCUUGCCAUAUGAGGAAAAUAAAAUUACAUUUAAUAUAAAAACUUGAAUCUAGAUUAUGAAUUCAAAGCUCAAAAGGCU
rnacentral:lncRNA from 1 species